GAUGAACGCUGGCGGCGUGCUUAACACAUGCAAGUCGAACGGUGAAGGCGGAGCUUGCUCUGCUGGAUCAGUGGCGAACGGGUGAGUAACACGUGAGGAAUCUGCCCCUGACUCUGGGAUAAGCGCUGGAAACGGCGUCUAAUACUGGAUACGAGCUGCGAAGGCAUCUUCAGCAGCUGGAAAGAAUUUCGGUCAGGGAUGAGCUCGCGGCCUAUCAGCUUGUUGGUGAGGUAAUGGCUCACCAAGGCGUCGACGGGUAGCCGGCCUGAGAGGGUGACCGGCCACACUGGGACUGAGACACGGCCCAGACUCCUACGUGAGGCAGCAGUGGGGAAUAUUGCACGAUGGGCGAAAGCCUGAUGCAGCAACGCCGCGUGAGGGACGACGGCCUUCGGGUUGUAAACCUCUUUUGGCAGGGAAGAAGCGAAAGUGACGGUACCUGCAGAAAAAGCGCCGGCUAACUACGUG
rnacentral:rRNA from 1 species